rnacentral:rRNA from 1 species
GACGAACGCUGGCGGCGUGCUGAACACAUGCAAGUAGAACGGAGUGGCGAAAGGGGGAGUAACACGAGGGUGAUCUGCCUAGAUCAUCGGGAGAAGCUCGGGACACUGGGUCUAAUACCCGAUAGUGUAAGUUGAGCGUGCGGCCUAUCAGAGGGUGGGUGGGGUAAUGGCCUACCAAGGCGUCGAUGUGUAGCCGGCCUGAGGGGGUGUACGGCCACAGUGUGACUGAGAUUACGCCCAGUCGCCUACUGGAGGCAGCAGUGAGGUAGAUUGCACCAGGGGCGGAGGCCUGAUGCAGCGACGCCGAGUGGGGGAUGAAGGCCUUCGGGUUGUAAACUCCUUUCGACAGGAACGCGGUACCUGUAUAAUAAGCACCGGCUAACUACGUGCCAGCAGCCGCGGUAAUAC